rnacentral:rRNA from 1 species
UACGAGGGGGGCAAGCGUUGUUCGGAAUUAUUGGGCGUAAAGGGUGCGUAGGCGGUCUGAUAAGUCAUCUGUGAAAUCUAUGGGCUCAACCCAUAGUCUGCAGGCGAAACUGUCGGGCUUGAGUAUGGGAGAGGUGAGUGGAAUUUCCGGUGUAGCGGUGAAAUGCGUAGAUAUUCGGAGGAACACCAGUGGCGAAGGCGGCUCACUGGCUCGGUACUGACGCUGAGGUGCGAAAGCGUGGGGAGCAAACAGG